rnacentral:misc_RNA from 1 species
GAAACAUGUCGACUGGUUGUAAGCUACUCAGUCUAUAACGUCCCUCUAUAUUCUGCUCCGGCACACCAUAGCAGAGAUAAUUAAGGUCACGAGCACAAGUGGCAGGAUUACACGAUACAUAAAUGAUCCGUGAUGCUCUCAAUCUUAGCAAAAAUUUGAUCAAUUUUAUGUGCAUUCCAGGGCGAUUAGGAUCUGUGAUAACAAUGUCAGGCUUGGGCAAGUUGCUCGCGAAGGUCGAAUCAAUUUUAUUCAAAUCACCUUCGAUGAAGGUUGCAUUAUUGAUGAAAUUUAGAGUGGCAUUUUGACGUGCAUCUGAUAC